rfam:Schistosoma mansoni strain Puerto Rico chromosome 3, complete genome
AUCCAUUUGAUGAGUCCCAAAUAGGACGAAACACACGUUCUGGUU